rnacentral:tRNA from 1 species
GUCUUGAUAGUUUAUAAAAAUAUUAUAUUGUGGUUAUAAAGAAGAACUAUUCUCAAGACA